GAUGAAGAACGUAGUGAAAUGCGAUAAGUAAUGUGAAUUGCAGAAUUCAGUGAACCAUCGAAUCUUUGAACGCACAUUGCGCCCGCCAGUAUUCUGGCGGGCAUGCCUGUUCGAGCGUCAUUUCAACCCUCAAGCACAGCUUGGUGUUGGGACUCGCGUUAAUUCGCGUUCCCCAAAUUGAUUGGCGGUCACGUCGAGCUUCCAUAGCGUAGUAGUAAAACCCUCGUUACUGGUAAUCGUCGCGGCCACGCCGUUAAACCCCAACUUCUGAAUGUUGACCUCGGAUCAGGUAGGAAUACCCGCUGAACUUAAGCAUAUCAAUAAGCGGAGGA
rnacentral:misc_RNA from 1 species